GGCUUGCUAUAGCUCAGGGGCCCGUUUCAGGUGGUAAGAGCGCUGGUCUAGCAAUCCAGAGGUCUCGGGUUCGAAUCCCGAUGGAGCCC